UGCCCGGUCGUCCAAUGGUAGGACGGAGGACUUUGGAUCCUCUAAUCAUGGUUCGAAUCCAUGCUGGGCAG
rnacentral:tRNA from 2 species